AAAUGCCUGCGUGGAGAGGUGGAAACAAGUGUGGGGUCUGCGGGAGGGCCGUGCACCACGCAGAAGAGGUGCAGUGUAAUGGCAGGAGCUUCCAUGCUGCUUUCUAUGCAUGAUUUGCAGGAAUAAUUUAGAUAGCAAGACAGUGGCAAUUCAUGAUUAAGAGAUUUACUGCAAAUCCUGCUAUGGAAAGAAGUAUGGGCCAAAAGGCUACAGUUUAUGGCCAGGGCGCUGGCAUACUUAACAUGGACCGUGGUGAGAGCCUGGGCAUCAAGCCAGAGUGUUCAGCCUCACAUGCCUACAAGCAAAUCCAAAGACUUCUAAAUUUGCUCAGAAAUACAGAGGUGCUGAGAAGUGUUCCAGAUGUGGGGAUUCCGUACAUGCUGCUGAGAAGGUAACUGGAGCUGGAAAGCCCUGGAACAAAAACUAUUUCCGAUGUGCAAAGUGUGGGAAGAGUCUUGAAUCAACAACUCCUGACUGAAAAAGAAGGUGAAAUCUAUUGUAAAGGGUGCUAUGCAAAGAACUUUGGGCCCAAGGGAUUUGGCUAUGGCCAAGGAGAGGGCUCUUGUUCAUGC
rnacentral:lncRNA from 1 species